rnacentral:rRNA from 1 species
CUUCGGGAGCUGACGAGUGGCGGACGGGUGCGUAACGUGUAGGAAUCUGCCUGUUAGUGGGGGACAACGUGGGGAAACUCACGCUAAUACCGCAUACGCCCUACGGGGGAAAGCGGAGGAUCUUCGGACCUCGCGCUAACAGAUGAGCCUGCGUUGGAUUAGCUAGUUGGUAGGGUAAAGGCCUACCAAGGCGACGAUCCAUAGCUGGUCUGAGAGGACGAUCAGCCACACUGGGACUGAGACACGGCCCAGACUCCUACGAGAGGCAGCAGUGGGGAAUAUAGGACAAUGGGCGCAAGCCUGAUCCAGCAAUACCGCGUGUGUGAAGAAGGCCUGAGGGUUGUAAAGCACUUUUAAUCGGGAGGAACAUCUGGUGGCUAAUACCCAUCAGUCUGACAUUACCGAUAGAAAAAGCACCGGCUAACUCCGUGCCAGCCAGCCGCGGUAAUACGGAGGGUGCAAGCGUUAAUCGGAAUUACUGGGCGUAAAGCGUGCGUAGGCGGCUGUUUAAGUCAGAUGUGAAAGCCCCGGGCUUAACCUGGGAACUGCAUUUGAUACUGGGCAGCUAGAGUUGAGUAGAGGAAAGGGGAAUUUCAGGUGUAGCGGUGAAAUGCGUAGAGAUCUGAAGGAACACCAGUGGCGAAGGCGCCUUUCUGGACUCAAACUGACGCUGAGGUACGAAAGCGUGGGUAGCAAACAGGAUUAGAUACCCUGGUAGUCCACGCCGUAAACGAUGUCAACUAGCCGUUGGUCUUAUUCGUAAGAUUCGUGGCGCAGCUAACGCGAUAAGUUGACCGCCUGGGGAGUACGGCCGCAAGGUUAAAACUCAAAUGAAUUGACGGGGGCCCGCACAAGCGGUGGANCAUGUUGGUUUAAUUCGAUGCAACNCGAAGAACUUACCUACCCUUGACAUCCAUAGAAUC